rnacentral:tRNA from 1 species
GUAGAGCAACUGACUUGUAAUCAGUAGGUUGGGGGUUCAAGUCCUCUAGUCGGCACCA